rnacentral:rRNA from 1 species
UACGAAGGGGCCAGCGUUGUUCGGAAUUACUGGGUGUAAAGCGCGUGUAGGCGGGUCUUUUAGGUCAGGGUGAAAUGCCAGGGCUCAACCUUGGAACUGCCUUUGAUACUGGAGACCUUGAGUCCGGGAGAGGUGAGUGGAAUUGCGAGUGUAGAGGUGAAAUUCGUAGAUAUUCGCAAGAACACCAGUGGCGAAGGCGGCUCACUGGCCCGGAACUGACGCUGAGACGCGAAAGCGUGGGGAGCAAACAGG